rnacentral:rRNA from 1 species
CCUACGGGAGGCAGCAGUGGGGAAUAUUGCAUAAUGGGGGAAACCCUGAUGCAGCGACGCCGCGUGAGCGAAGAAGUAUUUCGGUAUGUAAAGCUCUAUCAGCAGGGAAGAUAAUGACGGUACCUGACUAAGAAGUACCGGCUAAAUACGUGCCAGCAGCCGCGGUAAUA